UACGGGGGGAGCAAGCGUUGUUCGGAUUUACUGGGCGUAAAGGGCGCGUAAGCGGCCUCUGCAAGUCGACUGUGAAAUCUCCGGGCUUAACCCGGAACGGUCAGCCGAUACUGCAGGGCUAGAGUGCAGAAGGGGCAACUGGAAUUCUCGGUGUAGCGGUGAAAUGCGUAGAUAUCGAGAGGAACACCUGCGGCGAAGGCGGGUUGCUGGGCUGACACUGACGCUGAAGUGCGAAAGCUAGGGGAGCGAACGGG
rnacentral:rRNA from 1 species